UCUACAAAAAUAUAACUUCUAUUGUUAUGCCCUUCUAUGGUUAUCAUUAUGCUCUUCAAAAUUUUGCUUGGCUUAUAUAUGUCCCAUGAUCUUAGUCCCUUAUUUAUGAAUUUGGUAUCCAUAAAAGGCCUUAUCUCCUCAAAGCUGAAAGACUUUAACCAUGGCACCCUCCCUUUUCUCUCUGCUGCUCCUCUGCCCCUGCAUCGUUUGCAUUGAUCUGGUUCGUGGUGCAAAGGACAAGAGGCUCCGGGUUAAGGGACCCGUGAGAAUGCCAACCAAGAUUCUGCACAUUACCACCAGGAAGUCCCCUUGUGGUGAAGGUAUGUUUCACUGUGAAAUGUUCUUGUUGUUAACUUAUUGCUUGAUGCUUUAUGGGCAAGGCAAGGCUUAUGGCUAUGGCCAUUUACUCAGA